rnacentral:lncRNA from 1 species
CUCGCCUACACAAGGACCCGCGCUAAAAGCCAGAGCUCCCAGUCCCCGAGGCUUGAAGACGGGGACUCCCUUCUCCACCAACUCUGUCCUCGGGGGGUGGGGCCCCAGCCGAGAUCACAGCGCGACAGGAGUGGGGGUGGCCGCUGGAGGUGAAGAAACAAGAAAACUAAGAAAUCCGAGCGGUUGGAGGGGGAGUCUGUGUGGAUGGGAUGGGGACGCCGGGGGAGGGGCUGGGCCGCUGCUCCCAUGCCCUGAUCCGGGGAGUCCCAGAGAGCCUGGCGUCGGGGGAAGGUGCGGGGGCUGGCCUUCCCGCUCUGGAUCUGGCCAAAGCUCAAAGGGAGCACGGGGUGCUGGGAGGUAAACUGAGGCAACGACUGGGGCUACAGCUGCUAGAACUGCCACCUGAGGAGUCAUUGCCGCUGGGACCGCUGCUUGGCGACACGGCCGUGAUCCAAGGGGACACGGCCCUAAUCACGCGGCCCUGGAGCCCCGCUCGUAGGCCAGAGGUCGAUGGAGUCCGCAAAGCCCUGCAAGACCUGGGGCUCCGAAUUGUGGAAAUAGGAGACGAGAACGCGACGCUGGAUGGCACUGACGUUCUCUUCACCGUUUUUCGUAGGCCUCUCCAAAUGGACCAAUCACCGAGGAGCUGAGAUCGUGGCGGACACGUUCCGGGACUUCGCCGUCUCCACUGUGCCAGUCUCGGGUCCCUCCCACCUGCGCGGUCUCUGCGGCAUGGGGGGACCUCGCACUGUUGUGGCAGGCAGCAGCGACGCUGCCCAAAAGGCUGUCCGGGCAAUGGCAGUGCUGACAGAUCAC